rfam:Glycine soja cultivar W05 scaffold3386_3, whole genome shotgun sequence.
CAAGGACAGUGUUUAUCUCAACAACGUCUUUGAAAGUAGACAUUCAAAGACGAUGCUUACCUCAGCAACGUCUUAGAAUGCCUACUUUCAAAGAUGGUGUUGAGGUAAGCAUCGUCUUU